rnacentral:rRNA from 1 species
AUACGUAGGUGCCAAACGUUGUCCGGAUUUAUUGGGCGUAAAGGGCUCGUAGGCGGUUCAACAAGUCGGUCGUGAAAACCCGGGGCUCAACCCCGGGACGCCGGUCGAAACUGUUGUGACUAGGGUCCGGUAGAGGUGAGUGGAAUUCUCGGUGUAGCGGUGGAAUGCGCAGAUAUCGAGAGGAACACCAGUAGCGAAGGCGGCUCACUGGGCCGGUACCGACGCUGAGGAGCGAAAGCAUGGGGAGCAAACAGGAGUAGAAACCCCUGUAGUCC